CUUUGAGACAAUGUCUAUUGUAAAAAGUGCCAUACAAAUAAAAUUGAAUUGAAUUGAAUUGUAGUGAGAGAGGAACUUUUCAGGUGUACUACAAUGUAAAACACGCUUAACUCUUUUCCACUGACAGGGUGCUGGUCCUGAUUCUGGUCCCAAAUGGAUUUCAGCAAUCAAAUUGCUGGUCUAGAACCAAGAAUCGUUGAUACCAUGGCGUUUUGGGUGUGGAGCAACUCGACUUAUUUAGAAGACUGCCAGGAAAAUAAUAUGUGAUCGACGUGAGAAGGUUGGAGAGGAUGACUGAAAAGUAACUAUUGAUUGCUGCUGUGUGUUACUCGGUUUGUUUUUUCUUCUCAAUGAAAUAUUUGGGAAAAAGAAGAAGGAAAAAGAGAAAUGUCCAGUAGAACGUCCAGCAGAAAUGUCCAGUAGAAAUGUCCAGCAAAACGUCCAGUAGAAAUGUCCAGUAGAAAUGUCCAGUAGAAACGUCCAGUCAGAAACGUCACAUAGAAAUGUUCAGUAGAAACGUCCAGUAGAAAUGUCCAGUAGAAACGUCCAGUAGAAACGUCCCGCAGAAAUGUCCAGCAGAAACGUCCAGCAGAAACGUCCAGUAGAAAUGUUCAGUAGAAACGUCCAGCAGAAAUGUCCACUAGAAACGUCCAGCAGAAAUGUCCAGUAGAAAUGUUCAGUAGAAACGUCCAGCAGAAACGUCCAG
ensembl:lncRNA